rnacentral:lncRNA from 1 species
CAGGAGUCUGAGCGCACAGUGGUUGCCUUGGGGAUGCUGAAAGAGGCCGCAUUUCUGGCCAGCCCAGGUGAGCCAAGAAAGAAUACCAGGGGGAAUAAGCAGACUCGCCAGGCCACAGGGAAAGGGCUGCAAAGUUACUCACACAGCUGCUCUAUUUGUCUGUAAGAGGAGCGGUCAGUCUCCACCAGCUCCCACCCGCUGGGUGGCUGGGAUAAAGCGAGUGGGGUGGGAACGUCCUUCAACGCAUCCUCAUCAGAUCCAGUAACUCAUGCUUGAGUAACUCGGAGCUUACUGGGAUGACGUGGGUAGGUGGCCUGCAGCUCUGCUCAGGAGGGUCUUCUCCAGUCAUGUGAGCCUUAGAGAAUGCAUCCUGCCCCAUGUCCUCCGUACGUUUCAACAACUGGGAUCCCACUGGCUCCUGUUACAACCGAGCUAGGACCAACAGUAACAACAGCAAGAACACCAGCACUACCCCCGCGACAGCAUCUCCCUUUUAUAAAGCAUCUCUUACCUGCCCAGCACCCUGAAGCACCGGCCGUGUGCCUGGCACUGGGGACGCACUGAGGAGAGGAUUUCUGUCCCUGCAUGAAGCUUGCUGAUCUGCUGUGGAUGGGCACAUUCGCUCUUUAGGAGAGACAAGGAAAGACCAGGAGCACCCCAGCCACUGAGAGGUGAGGACACCUGGCUCCCGGAGCUGCCACAACCUGGAAUGACCCCCCUCCAAGCCCCCACCAUGCAGGCUCUGUUUCUCCUCUGCUUCUUUCCAUGACGUCUGACAGUCUGGCUGUUCCUGGGCCCCGUGGGGUCUCUGCUUUCCUAUUGCUGCG